GUGCCAGCCGCCGCGGUAAUACGGAGGGGACUAGCGUUGUUCGGAAUUACUGGGCGUAAAGCGCACGUAGGCGGAUUUGUAAGUCAGGGGUGAAAUCCCGGGGCUCAACCUCGGAACUGCCUUUGAUACUGCAAAUCUCGAGUCCGGAAGAGGUGAGUGGAAUUCCUAGUGUAGAGGUGAAAUUCGUAGAUAUUAGGAAGAACACCAGUGGCGAAGGCGGCUCACUGGUCCGGUACUGACGCUGAGGUGCGAAAGCGUGGGGAGCAAACAGGAUUAGAAACCCCCGUAGUCC
rnacentral:rRNA from 1 species